AUUACUUGAAUUCAUUGAAGCCAAUCAUCGCAUAAGGGAUAAACAAGUUCAUUCUCAACUUCAAGAAGAUAUUAUUCAACAUUUGUGGUCACUACAUGGCGGAGCGUAAUCCAUUACAUUCUACUACAAUAAUAAGUAAAUCAUAAUUCUCUAAUAAUAAGCAAGUCAACUACUAGAUGUAAUUGAUUUCUUUCUUGCGUUGUUUGUAAUAUUCAGCUACUUCAGGCUCCAUGUUAGCGGUGUCAAUCAUCAUGAUCCUUAGCUUUCAUUAUAUAUUUAUAUUCAACUUCUCAUGCUCUUGAAAAUAUAUUUUGUCCAUGUUCUCUCGUCUCUUUUGUUGGUUCAAUUUCAUCUAAUGCUAGAACUUUUCAAACCUCAAUUUUAUAGGUGUACUAGUAUCACCGGUUCCUUUGCCCUUUUUAAAUAAUGCUUUUGAAGCCUUUCUUCACAUUGGCCUUCUAAUCCUGCAGAGAUUGUAUCUUCAAUACCAUCGUCUUCACCCAAACUUACUUCUUCUGCGGUUGAUGGAUUAUUUACAAAGUAUUAAGUAUACAUUAUAAGAAUAAACUUAAUGAAAUUUUACAUGAAAAAAAUUGAAAUACAUUAUCUUGUUCACCUACACCGUUUUGUUGCAUUCUUUCAAUUAUUGAAGCAUAAUAUCCACAAAAUUUGUUCACAACGAGUUGAAUUGUUGACCAACGUUUCGCCAAAGCAGUAGAAUUGUGUUCAGACAUUAAAUUUUUGUAUUCAUAAAAGUAUUCGUGAACUCUUUCCAAAUAUCUUCC
rnacentral:lncRNA from 1 species